CCUACGGGGGGCUGCAGUGGGGAAUUUUGGACAAUGGGGGCAACCCUGAUCCAGCCAUUCCGCGUGAGUGAAGAAGGCCUUCGGGUUGUAAAGCUCUUUCGGCCGGGAAGAAAUCGCAUCUCCUAAUACGGGGUGUGGAUGACGGUACCGGAAGAAGAAGCACCGGCUAACUACGUGCCAGCAGCCGCGGUAAUACGUAGGGUACGAGCGUUAAUCGGAAUUACCGGGCGUGGCGCAUGAGCACAGAUGUGAAAUCCCCGGGCUUAAGCUGGGAACUGCGUUUGUGACUGGUGGGCUUGAGUGCGGCAGAGGGGGGUGGAAUUCCACGUGUAGCAGUGAAAUGCGUAGAGAUGUGGAGGAACACCGAUGGCGAAGGCAGCCCCCUGGGUCGACACUGACGCUAAUGCACGAAAGCGUGGGGAGCAAACAGGAUUAGAUACCCCGGUAGUC
rnacentral:rRNA from 1 species